AGUGAAAUCCCUUAGUAACGAAGCUAACGCGUGAAGUUGACCGCCUGGGGAGUACGGUCGCAAGAUUAAAACUCAAAGGAAUUGACGGGGACCCGCACAAGCGGUGGAUGAUGUGGAUUAAUUCGAUGCAACGCGAAAAACCUUACCUACCCUUGACAUGUCCGGAAUCCUGCAGAGAUGCGGGAGUGCUCGAAAGAGAACCGGAACACAGGUGCUGCAUGGCUGUCGUCAGCUCGUGUCGUGAGAUGUUGGGUUAAGUCCCGCAACGAGCGCAACCCUUAUCAUUAGUUGCUACGCAAGGGCACUCUAAUGAGACUGCCGGUGACAAACCGGAGGAAGGUGGGGAUGACGUCAAGUCCUCAUGGCCCUUAUGGGUAGGGCUUCACACGUCAUACAAUGGUCGGUACAGAGGGUUGCCAAGCCGCGAGGUGGAGCCAAUCCCAGAAAGCCGAUCGUAGUCCGGAUUGUUCUCUGCAACUCGAGAGCAUGAAGUCGGAAUCGCUAGUAAUCGCGGAUCAGCAUGUCGCGGUGAAUACGUUCCCGGGUCUUGUACACACCGCCCGUCACACCAUGGGAGUGGAAUCUGGCAGAAGUAGGUAGCCUAACCGCAAGGAGGGCGCUUACCACGCUGGGUUUCAUGACUGGGGUGAAGUCGUAACAAGGUAACCAAAGGGCGAAUUCGCCGGCCAAAAAAACUAG
rnacentral:rRNA from 1 species